CCUACGGGAGGCAGCAGUGAGGAAUAUUGGUCAAUGGGCGGAAGCCUGAACCAGCCAAGUCGCGUGCGGGAAUAAGGCCCUACGGGUCGUAAACCUCUUUUGCCGAGGAGCAAGGGCGGGGACGUGUCCCGGCCCGGAGAGUACCCGGAGAAAAAGCAUCGGCUAACUCCGUGCCAGCAGCCGCGGUAAUACGGGGGAUGCGAGCGUUAUCCGGAUUUAUUGGGUUUAAAGGGUGCGUAGGCGGGCUUUUAAGUCUGCGUUAAAAAUUCGGGGCUCAACCGCGUCCGGCCGUUGAAACUGGUGGCCUAGAGUGGGCGAGAAGAAGGCGGAAUGCGUGGUGUAGCGGUGAAAUGCAUAGAGAUCACGCAGAACCCCGAUUGCGAAGGCAGCCUUCCGGCGCCCUACUGACGCUGAGGCACGAAAGUGCGGGGAGCGAACAGGAUUAGAUACCCGGGUAGUC
rnacentral:rRNA from 1 species